UCAUCCAAUGAUAGGACAGUGUCUAUGAACAAAGGAUCAUGAUUAAUCUGGUUCUUUAUGAAAUCCAGAGGUCCAUU